rnacentral:rRNA from 1 species
CAAUAGCGUAUAUUUAAGUUGUUGCAGUUAAAAAGCUCGUGGUUGGAUUUCGGAUGGGAUUUGCCGGUCCGUCGUUACGAUGUGCACUGGCCAGUCCUAUCUUGUUGUCGGGGACUAGCUCCUUGGAUUCACUUCCUGGGACUAGGAGCUGACGAGGUUACUUUGAGUAAAUUAGAGUGUUCAAAGCAAGCCUAUGCUCUGAAUACAUUAGCAUGGAAUAACACGAUAGGACUCUGGCUUAUCUUGUUGGUCUGUGAGACCAGAGUAAUGAUUAAGAGGGACAGUCGGGGACAUUCGUAUUUCAUUGUCAGAGGUGAAAUUCUUGGAUUUAUGAAAGACGAACUUCUGCGAAAGCAUUUGUCAAGGAUGUUUUCAUUAA